AUUGAACGCUGGCGGCAGGCUUAACACAUGCAAGUCGAGCGAGCGGCGGACGGGUGAGUAAUGUCUGGGAAACUGCCUGAUGGAGGGGGCUAACUACUGGCAACGGUAGCUCAUACCGCAUACCAUCAGAUGUGCCCAGAUGGGAUUAGCUAGUAGGUGGGGUAAUGGCUCACCUAGGCGCCGAUCCCUAGCUGGUCUGAGAGGCUGACCAGCCACACUGGAACGGAGACACGGUCCAGACUCCUACGGGAGGCAGCAGUGGGGACUAUUGCACAAUGGGGGCAAGCCUGAUGUAGCCAGGCCGCGUGUAUGAAGAAGGCCUUCGGGUGGUAAAGUACUUUCAGCGAGGAGGCGUUACUCGCAGAAGAAGCACCGGCUAACUCCGUGCCAGCAGCCGCGGUAAUAC
rnacentral:rRNA from 1 species